GCCCUGGCAUGCCUGGGGGCUGUUCUGCUUUGUUCUCAGUCUCAGGCCGGGGCAGUGGGCUCUUAAACACACAAAUUACAAUAUUUUAUUUUUCUUCACAUUGAGUCACAGAGGUCACAUUCCCGAGCCUGGGCCUAAAGGCGUAGAAUUUUGCUUUUAUAUUUUUUCACAGGCACACCAUUAUAUUAUAUGGUUGUGAGCCACCACGUGGGUUCAGGACCUCUGGAAGAUCAGUCGGUGCUGAGCCAUCUCUCCAAUCCCGCAACUAACUCUCUGUCUCUCUCUCUCACAUCUUUUUAAAAAAUUAUUAUUAUUACUCUGUGUGCAUGAGUGUUUUCCUUCAUGUGUGUCUGCACCACACAUGCUAGUGCUAAAGAAAGUGGUAACCCUCCAUGUGGAUGCUGGGAAUCGAGUCUUUUGCAAUGGAGUCCUUGCUCUUAACUACUGAACCAACUCUCCCGUCCUAUAAGUAAAUCUUCAGAGCACUAAUCUAUUCUACUUCAAGUUUCUCCUGCAUCAGAUCCAGGCCAGCUGGAGCGAGCUACACGGUUACCCCCCCUCCUCCCAAAGGGGAAAAUAAGGAUCAGGUGAAAAUGUUUGGAAAUUACAAUAGUAGAAUAUAAAGAAAGAAUAUGAAGGCGGCCAUGAAGGGGUAGAAAGGUAGAUGACCAGGCGUCAUCCCUGAUGUCACGGGUAUGGGCGUGGUGUAUGCAGAUAAGCGCGCAGGGUCUGCCGGGUCCGCGCUCCGUGCAGAAAUGUGAGGGGUUUCUCCCGCGGCGAGGGAGGGAGCGCGGAUACGCGGGUGUCAGCAGAGCGCAAGAAUGUCGUGUGCGACGAGGGAGACCCGAGAUCGGCCAGGGCUAAGUGACCGUGUGUUAAGAGUGUAGAGGCGACGGGUGUGAGCCGGGGCCGGGCAGUGGGAAAGCAUACUUACCUGGCAGGGGAGAUACCAUGAUCAUGAAGGUGGUUUUCCCAGGGCGAGGCUCACCCAUUGCACUUUGGGGUGUGCUGACCCCUGCGAUUUCCCCAAAUGCGGGAAACUCGACUGCAUAAUUUGUGGUAGUGGGGGACUGCGUUCGCGCUCUCCCCUGAUUUUUGUGGUGCUAAAAGUUAGAUUGCAUUCCGCCCUUCUCACGUCUCUUUACGUGUUGUUUGCGAGGCGUGGCCUCGGA
rnacentral:lncRNA from 1 species